GGGGAUAUAGCUCAGCUGGGAGAGCACUGCACUCGCAUUGCAGAGGUCGGGGGUUCGAAUCCCCCUAUCUCCA
rnacentral:tRNA from 1 species